AUUGAACGCUGGCGGCAGGCCUAACACAUGCAAGUCGAGCGGAGAGGCGGACGGGUGAGUAAUGCCUAGGCAUCUGCCUGGUAGUGGGGGAUAACGUCCGGAAACGGGCGCUAAUACCGCACACUAUCAGAUGAGCUCAGGUCGGAUUAGCUAGUUGGUGGGGUAAAGGCCUACCAAGGCGACGAUCCGUAACUGGUCUGAGGGGAUGAUCAGUCACACUGGAACUGAGACCCGGUCCAUACUCCUACGGGAGUCAGCAGUGGGGAAUAUUGGGCGAUGGGCGAAAGCCUGAUCCAGCCAUGCCGCGUGUGUGAAGAAGGUCUUCGGAUUGUAAAGCACUUUAAGUUGGGAGGCGUUACCAACAGAAUAAGCACCGGCUAACUUCGUGCCAGCAGCCGCGGUAAUUC
rnacentral:rRNA from 1 species